rnacentral:misc_RNA from 1 species
AAGUCGUAACAAGGUCUCCGUUGGUGAACCAGCGGAGGGAUCAUUGCUGGAACAAACGCCCUCACGGGUGCUACCCAGAAACCCUUUGUGAAUCAUACCUAAAACUGUUGCCUCGGCAUGGUUGGCUUCUUUUAGAAGCCCCUCUCCCCGGAGAGGAGCAGACCGGCCGGUGGCCUUAUAAACUCUUUAUUUUUGUACAUCUUCUGAGUAAAACAACUAAAAAAUGAAUCAAAACUUUCAACAACGGAUCUCUUGGUUCUG